rnacentral:rRNA from 1 species
AGAGUUUGAUCCUGGCUCAGGACGAACGCUGGCGGCGUGCCUAAUACAUGCAAGUCGAGCGAGUCUGCCUUGAAGAUCGGAGUGCUUGCACUCUGUGAAACAAGAUACAGGCUAGCGGCGGACGGGUGAGUAACACGUGGGUAACCUGCCCAAGAGAUCGGGAUAACACCUGGAAACAGAUGCUAAUACCGGAUAACAACAGAUGAUGCCUAUCAACUGUUUAAAAGAUGGUUCUGCUAUCACUCUUGGAUGGACCUGCGGUGCAUUAGCUAGUUGGAGAGGUAAGAGCUCCCCAAGGCGACGAUGCGUAGCCGACCUGAGAGGGUGAUCGGCCACACUGGGACUGAGACACGGCCCAGACUCCUACGGGAGGCAGCAGUAGGGAAUCUUCCGCAAUGGACGAAAGUCUGACGGAGCAACGCCGCGUGAGUGAAGAAGGUUUUCGGAUCGUAAAGCUCUGUUGUUAAGGAAGAACACCAUGGAUA